rnacentral:piRNA from 1 species
CUAUAAAGAUGUCCUUAACUCAAAA